CAAAGGCCCCGGAUGCCCUUUCCAUAUCGGCUCUGUCAAGGCUGAAGAAUCUGAGAUGCUGAGGAUUUGACUUGUCUAAAAUGACAUAAGUAGUUAGUGGUGGGAGUCAAACUCAACUCUUCCUACUCCAAAUGCAGCACACUCUGCAUAACACCAAAGUUAACACCCAGUGCCUCAAUCAAGGGACUGGCUAACGAUCAAGAGGCAGAUUGCUGUGGUUAUGCCAGCAUUGCAUUCCCCGAGGGUGGAAGGCAAGAGGAAAACUCUGAGUGCCACCAAGAUGAGCUAUCUCCCAGUGAUGCAGUCUCCUGUGUGGUUUUGGACCAAAUAUCUGGCUGGAUAAGAAUACAAAUGCUGGGCCGGGGAUUUAGCUUAGUGAUUUCACCACCUGCUGCGCAAGCCCAAGGACCCGAGUUUGAUCCCCAAUACCAAAAACAAAGAAUACAAAUGCUUCUGAAAAUAAAUACUGGUUUAAGUUCCAUGAGAGCUAUGUAGUUUAACCUGAAGCUUUUUAAAUCUUUUGACUCAAUCCAUACUUAGCUAGAAGGGGGGCAAGAGUCUUACUAUAGGCCAAACCAACAAAAACUUCCUAUGCUUCUCUUGUUGGUUUGGUACCUUUGUUUUCAUACCUGACCUGUUUGGUAGUUUUCUUAACAAAGAAAUACAUAGUAGAGCUCUUUUAUCCAACAGAUUAAUGGAGGCUUCCCACUGUCUCAGUAAAACCUAGUGGGUGAUAUUAAUACAAACCUACUGCAGUACAGCCAGCAACCAACUCACUCCUCUAUUAGUUGAGCUUCCAAGAGCCAGCAGUGUUUGUUCCCAGUAGUGUUUGUUCCAGUGUUACAGGAUAAAUUUUAAUUAAGUUAUAUGAAAUGUUGUUUUUAUGAAAACUAAGUUUAAUGCUUUGGAAAGUUGUGAGAAAAUAGUCACUGAAAUUUAUUAUUGAAUGUGAUAUAAAAAAACUAUAAAAGUAGAAUUGUCUUGAAUAUCUAUAAUGAGUCUAGGUUCUUUGAAUAAUAUUGGUGGACGGUAGCCUUAAACUAGGACUGUUUUGAGCAAAUUAGGGUAUAUUGUCAUAUUAUGUAAAAGAGAUAUGAUUUAUCAAACAGGAAUACGGAGAAUGAGAAGUAUUCCAAGAAGAGGAAACUGCAUGAAUAAAGAC